rfam:Gossypium arboreum cultivar AKA8401 contig_15273_7, whole genome shotgun sequence.
AACCCAUGGUAAGGGCACCUUCUCAAUAAAUCCUUAUACCUCUCCCAUGUAUUGGAUAUGGUCUCUAAGUCCAUUUUUACAAAGGAAGAGAUAUCAUUCCUCAACUU